rnacentral:rRNA from 1 species
CCCUUAGAUGUUCUGGGCCGCACGCGUGCUACACUGAGUGGAUCAGCGGGUCAGGUUGCGCGAAAGUGUUUCCUAAUCUUUAAAUCCGCUCGUGAUGGGGAUUGACGGUUGCAAUUUUCCGUCAUGAACGAGGAAUACCUUGUAAGCGCGGGUCAUCAUCCCGCGCUGAAUACGUCCCUGCCCUUUGUACACACCGCCCGUCGCUCCUACCGAUUGGGUGGUCCGGUGAGGCUUUGGGAUCUGAGCGGAAAGAGCGUUUCGCUGUUUCUGCCCGGAAAACUCAGUCGAACCUUAUCAUUUAGAGGAAGGAGAAGUCGUAACA